rnacentral:rRNA from 1 species
GACGGAGGGUGCUAGCGUUGUUCGGAAUGACUGGGCGUAAAGGGCGCGUAGGCGGCUCGUGAAGUCGGGUGUGAAAGCCCGGGGCUCAACCCCGGAACGGCAUCCGAUACUGGCGGGCUUGAGACCGGGGAGAGGAGGGUGGAAUACCCAGUGUAGAGGUGAAAUUCGUAGAUAUUGGGUGGAACACCGGUGGCGAAAGCGGCUCUCUGGCCCGGAUCUGACGCUGAGGCGCGAAAGCGUGGGGAGCAAACAGG